UGGGUGCAGUCGAAGCGAGUGGAAUGUGUAGUGUAGCGGUGAAAUGCAUAGAUAUUACACAGUACACCGAUAGCGAAAGCAGCUCGCUAGGCUGUUACUGACGCUGUGGCACGAAAGCGUGGGGAGCGAACAGGAUUAGAUACCCUGGUAGUCCACGCUGUAAACGAUGAUCACUAGUUGUUGGCGAUACAUUGUCAGUGACUGAGCGAAAGCGUUAAGUGAUCCACCUGGGAAGUACGUCCGCAAGGAUGAAACUCAAAGGAAUUGACGGGGGCUCGCACAACCGGUGGAACACGUGGUUCAAUUCGAUGCUACGCGAGGAACCUUACCUGGGCUUAAAUGCAGGACGACCUCCCGGGAAACCGGGAUUCCCUUCGGGGCGGUUUGCAAGGUGCUGCACGGCUGUCGUCAGCUCGUGCCAUGAGGUGUCGGGUUAAGUCCCUUAACGAGCGCAACCCCUAUUGUUAGUUGCCAACAGGUAAUGCUGGGGACUCUAGCAAAACUGCCAGUGUAAGCUGGAGGAAGGUGGGGAUGACGUCAAGUCAGCAUGGCCCUUAUGUCCAGGGCUACACACGUGUUACAAUGGCCGGCACAAAGGGCAGCUACCACGCGAGUGGAUGCUAAUCUCUAAAUCCGGUCUUAGUUCGGAUCGGAGUCUGCAAUUCGACUUCGUGAAGGUGGAAUCGGUAGUAAUCGCGCAUCAGCAACGGCGCGGUGAAUACGUUCCCGAGCCUUGUACACACUGCCCGUCAAGCCAUGGGAGUUGGGGGUACCUGAAGUUCGUAACCGUAAGGAGCG
rnacentral:rRNA from 1 species